GGGCUCGUAGUAUAGCUUGGAUAGUACGAUCGGCUUCGGACCGAUAAACCAGGGUUCAAAUCCUUGCGAGCCCG
rnacentral:tRNA from 1 species